GCCAGCAGCCGCGGUAAUACGGAGGGGGCUAGCGUUGUUCGGAAUUACUGGGCGUAAAGCGCGCGUAGGCGGAUUGAUCAGUGGGGGGUGAAAUCCCGAGGCUCAACCUUGGAACUGCCCUCAAUACUGUCAGUCUAGAGUCCGAGAGAGGUGAGUGGAAUUCCUAGUGUAGAGGUGAAAUUCGUAGAUAUUAGGAAGAACACCAGUGGCGAAGGCGGCUCACUGGCUCGAUACUGACGCUGAGGUGCGAAAGCGUGGGGAGCAAACAGGAUUAGAUACCCCUGGUAGUCCCACGCCGUAAACGAUGGGUGCUAGCUGUCAGGCAGCAUGCUGUUUGGUGGCGCAGCUAACGCAUAAACAUUCCGCCUGGG
rnacentral:rRNA from 1 species